AUUGAACGCUGGCGGCAGGCCUAACACAUGCAAGUCGGACGGUAGCACAGAGAGCUUGCUCUCGGGUGACGAGUGGCGGACGGGUGAGUAAUGUCUGGGGAUCUGCCCGAUAGAGGGGGAUAACCACUGGAAACGGUGGCUAAUACCGCAUAACGUCGCAAGACCAAAGAGGGGGACCUUCGGGCCUGUCACUAUCGCAUGAACCCAGAUGGGAUUAGCUAGUAGGCGGGGUAACGGCCCACCUAGGCGACGAUCCCUAGCUGGUCGGAGAGGAUGACCAGCCACACUGGAACUGAGACACGGUCCAGACUCCUACGGGAGGCAGCAGUGGGGAAUAUUGCACAAUGGGCGCAAGCCUGAUGCAGCCAUGCCGCGUGUAUGAAGAAGGCCUUCGGGUUGUAAAGUACUUUCAGCGGGGAGGAAGGCGAUGUGGUUAAUAACCGCGUCGAUUGACGUUACCCGCAGAAGAAGCACCGGCUAACUCCGUGCCAGCCGCCGCCGUAA
rnacentral:rRNA from 1 species